GCCACAUCCUGCCUUUGGAUUCACCUGGGGCAGAGGACCUGAUGGGGUGUCAGACCCUGGAGUCCAACUGCCAGGAAAGAGAGAGCCGAGCCGUGUACCAUGUGACACUGUGCCCCAGGCAAGAUUACAGUGUAUUUCCUGAGCUCUCCUUUGCUUUUCUUAAGAUAUUUCUCCCACCCCUCCGUGCAAUAUUCACUUUCAGCUAUGACCUAAAACUGGAUUCCAUACAGAUACUGUUUGCAAAGGUGUGAUUUCC